UCCGGUUGAUCCUGCCGGACCUGACUGCUAUCGGAUUGAUACUAAGCCAUGCGAGUCAUUGUAGCAAUACAAGGCAUACGGCUCAGUAACGCGUAGUCAACCUAACCUAUGGACGGGAAUAACCUCGGGAAACUGAGAAUAAUGCCCGAUAGAACAUUAUGCCUGGAAUGGCUUAUGUUCCAAAUGAUUUAUCGCCGUAGGAUGGGACUGCGGCCUAUCAGUUUGUUGGUGAGGUAAUGGCCCACCAAGACUAUUACAGGUACGGGCUCUGAGAGGAGUAGCCCGGAGAUGGGUACUGAGACACGGACCCAGGCCCUAUGGGGCGCAGCAGGCGAGAAAACUUUGCAAUGUGCGAAAGCACGACAAGGUUAAUCCGAGUGAUUUGUGCUAAACGAAUCUUUUGUUAGUCCUAGAACCACUAACGAAUAAGGGGUGGGCAAGUUCUGGUGUCAGCCGCCGCGGUAAAACCAGCACCUCAAGUGGUCAGGAUGAUUAUUGGGCCUAAAGCAUCCGUAGCCGGCUCUGUAAGUUUUCGGUUAAAUCUGUACGCUUAACGUACAGGCUGCCGGGAAUACUGCAGAGCUAGGGAGUGGGAGAGGUAGACGGUACUCGGUAGGAAGUGGUAAAAUGCUUUGAUCUAUCGAUGACCACCUGUGGCGAAGGCGGUCUACCAGAACACGUCCGACGGUGAGGGAUGAAAGCUGGGGGAGCAAACCGGAUUAGAUACCCGGGUAGUCCCAGCUGUAAACUAUGCAAACUCAGUGAUGCAUUGGCUUGUGGCCAAUGCAGUGCUGCAGGGAAGCCGUUAAGUUUGCCGCCUGGGAAGUACGUACGCAAGUAUGAAACUUAAAGGAAUUGGCGGGGGAGCACCACAAGGGGUGAAGCCUGCGGUUCAAUUGGAGUCAACGCCGGA
rnacentral:rRNA from 1 species